rnacentral:tRNA from 1 species
GCCGAAGUGGCGGAACAGGCAGACGCGCACGACUCAAAAUCGUGUCCCGAAAGGGGUGUGGGUUCGACUCCCACCUUCGGCACUA